rnacentral:tRNA from 1 species
GCGUGUUUGGCCGAGAGGUAAAUUUUCACCCCCUGGAUUAAUUCGGCCUACGAGCCGUCGAGAUUCAUAUGUACUAACUCUACUAUAGGUUAAGGCGCUGUGUUUAGGCUUUCAUCACGAAUACCUGAAUUUUCUAUUCCGCAGUGGGAAACCGCGCAGGUUCGAAUCCUGCAGCACGCA